GCUGAACUCACAAAUGUUUUAUUACACUUGUGUGAUUUAGUUAUUGCAGGAAAUGAGUAAUUGAUGCUUGUAAUUCCUCCAACAUUAUGCCCUUGGUCUCUGGCACCACCUUGGCAAUGAAUAAAACAGCUGAAGCGCACAUGCCAGAAAAUAUGAAAAAUGUACCUGCAGAGCUCCACUCCAUUAUAAAGUUGAAAGCAUAUGA
rnacentral:misc_RNA from 1 species